GAUGAACGCUGGCGGCGUGCCUAAUACAUGCAAGUCGAGCGAACGGACGAGAAGCUUGCUUCUCUGAUGUUAGCGGCGGACGGGUGAGUAACACGUGGAUAACCUACCUAUAAGACUGGGAUAACUUCGGGAAACCGGAGCUAAUACCGGAUAAUAUUUUGAACCGCAUGGUUCAAAAGUGAAAGACGGUCUUGCUGUCACUUAUAGAUGGAUCCGCGCUGCAUUAGCUAGUUGGUAAGGUAACGGCUUACCAAGGCAACGAUGCAUAGCCGACCUGAGAGGGUGAUCGGCCACACUGGAACUGGGACACGGUCCAGACUCCUACGGGAGGCAGCAGUAGGGAAUCUUCCGCAAUGGGCGAAAGCCUGACGGAGCAACGCCGCGUGAGUGAUGAAGGUCUUCGGAUCGUAAAACUCUGUUAUUAGGGAAGAACAGAUGUGUAAGUAACUGUGGACAUCUUGACGGUACCUAAUCAGAAAGCCACGGCUAACUACGUG
rnacentral:rRNA from 1 species